CCGUCAAUCAUCAUUGCAACACAUGAUCCCUAGGUGGCGGUAAUGUACAAUUCAGCACAGAAGAAGAAGAGGAGGAGGCGCUGGGGGAGAAAAAGCAAGGAAGAAGAGUGUUAAUGGUGUUUACUGCUCAUCCGGAGAGUCACCGCCAUCUUUCUGCAGGGGGUUAGAAGUCAAUGGUGCAACAAGGUAUCUGGACUAGAUGACCUCUAUCUGGCCUUUGAUUAGGCCUACUGCAUCUUCUGAUGGAGAUGUAAAACGAAGUGCGUGAGUUUAAAAGACCCGUGUGUUCCUGUAGUUGUUGGCAGCUCAGCGGGCGAGACGUGCGGCUCUGAUCGCUCGGAUCAAUAGUCUAAGGCUGGAAGUUCAAUGCAUAGGCCGAGAAGAAGGACAGGGUGAAGGAAAUGCGCCAUACCGUGGCGUAGGGCACGGCCAACAGGCUGCAGCUCCAGAUCCGGCGGUGUUGAGAGCUCAGUGGAGGAUACGUUUGGCUCGGAUCAGGAGGAUCCUUAGGCUCUUGCCGGAGUUUCUGCGCAUGUGGUUCAUUACGCACCGGUUUCACUGAUUGCAUUUAAUGUGCAGCCGAGAAGGAGGACAUGGUGACGGAAGGUGAGUUGCAUGAUGGCAGGCUGAUCGCCGAUCAGAAGGUACUACACUGAAAUACUCCACCCCGGUCAGAAUAACUCUUCUGCACUGUAGCUUUGAAGAUAGAAGUUGUUUUAGUUUGAGAUGGCGUCGUCACCCUCAGGUUCGAGUUUAAAGCAGAAGAAGCGUUACAGGAACUUGUCGUUAAUAUCUCACUGUGACCUGAAAGCUGCUUGUUGGAUGUUUAAUGUAAGAUUAGAAAGUUCAGCUCGUUUAUCUCCUCUCAGGUGUGUGUAAAAGAGAACCUGGCUGUGUCCUUGCAGUGUGUGAUUUCUAUUUCG